AACGAACGCUGGCGGCAUGCCUAACACAUGCAAGUCGAACGAGACCUUCGGGUCUAGUGGCGCACGGGUGCGUAACGCGUGGGAACCUGCCCUUAGGUUCGGAAUAACUCCCCGAAAGGGGUGCUAAUACCGGAUAAUGUCUUCGGACCAAAGAUUUAUCGCCUUUGGAUGGGCCCGCGUUGGAUUAGCUAGUUGGUAGGGUAAAAGCCUACCAAGGCGACGAUCCAUAGCUGGUCUGAGAGGAUGAUCAGCCACACUGGGACUGAGACACGGCCCAGACUCCUCGGGGGGGCAGCGGGGGGGAAAUUUGGAAAAGGGGCGAAAGCCUGAUCCAGCAAUGCCGGGUGAGUGAUAAAGGCCUUAGGGUUGUAAAGCUUUUUUACCCGGGAGGAUAAUGAACGGACCGGGAGAAUAAGCCCCGGCUAACCCCGU
rnacentral:rRNA from 1 species